AAAAUAAGACUAAAAACCAAACGUUAGGCAAAAAAAGCAUCCGCUGUUUCCAUUCGUUAAACACAAAUGGCCAAAAGAAAAACCCUUCCUCACCGAUCUGCUUUGCAGUUUGCCCCAUGUUCUGUUUCUUCUCUGCAACAAUGUGCAAACUUGCCCACUUAGAUUUCUGCCCAUAUACGGAGAAAUUAUUGUUCAGAGAAAGCGACCGAUUGGAAUUUUUCUGGCAGAAGAGGAAGAAUAAGCGUUAGAAUGUUAACGCACCAUGGAUUGAGAGAGGGGUACCACCACAAGCCUCCACUCCACCCGCUAUCAGACUACCGGAAUCGCUACUGGGAUACGGAGGUAGAAGAACCAAGCAGAGUUUGUAGGCGCCAAGAGAAAGAAGAAAUAUUUAAGGCCGGCUAUUGUCCGUUCCCUCGCCAGACUUGGGCCACCGGAACCGCAAGCAAGAAAAAACUAUGGACCAUCAACACUGUUAGGCCAUAUAUCUACCACCUAGAUCGUCGGAACCGGAACCAGUACAAUUUUUUCCCCAUUUUUUAGAUUUUGGCAUUUGGGUCUUUCUGCCAGAACAUCAUACACCCAGAUAGAGUCCAUAAGGCACAGAGAGACAGGCCGUAUACCUGCCUCAGCUUCUUUUCCAAUGUCCUCCUUCAGUAACCCACAGAUUAUUUUCUACUUUCUGCCAUGCAUAGCAAACGACCAAAUCUAUAGAGUUUAGAAGCUGUCUGCAAAUUCCUGCAAUAGCAAAGUGAAAAGGUGGGUUCAUGCUCUGCCCCUAUCUCCUCUCUGUAGCAUCUGCUGUUUGUGUUUGUGCUCUUCCCCCAUCUCCUCUCUGCAACAUAUACGGAAGGUCCACAUCAUCUUACUGUUUCUUCUCCUAUUCGAAUUAGCAUCUUCAAUCUUCAAUAUAUCUGCCUAGGACAGGUGUAUGUUAGGCAACAUCAACAAUAACAGCUAUGGCAGCAAGUCAACUUCAGCAGCAACAUCACAGGAUUUAUGAUGGCUGAACCAAUGCUCAUGAUUGGUGGCAAUAAUGCUCAACUUAAGUUGCUGCAUAACUCAUGUUGGUGCUGCUGCUGGAGGCUUAAGUAGCUGCAUAAUUGCUGGUGGUGUUGUUGCUUAAAGUCAAAUUCUUUUUUUAGACACUAUAUGCUUAAAUAUACUACAUUAUUUAAGUUUGAAUGUAACCAAUGGAAUUAUGAUAACUAAGUUUAUGUAGGAUGCAAAGUUCAUAACUAAUCAGACUAUUCCAACGUUUAUUGGGUAUAAAAGGAAUUGCAUUUUCUUCAA